CACGUAGGGCGCAAGCGUUGUCCGGAAUUAUUGGGCGUAAAGAGCUCGUAGGCGGACUGUCACGUCUGCUGUGAAAAGCUGGGGCUUAACCCUGGCCUUGCAGUGGAUACGGGCAGACUAGAGGUAGGUAGGGGAGAAUGGAAUUCCCGGUGUAGCGGUGAAAUGCGCAGAUAUCGGGAAGAACACCCGUGGCGAAGGCGGUUCUCUGGGACGG
rnacentral:rRNA from 1 species